GAUGAACGCUAGCGAUAGGCCUAACACAUGCAAGUCGAGGGGCAUCACAUGAAGUAGCAAUACGGAUGGUGGCGACCGGCGCACGGGUGAGUAACACGUAUGCAACCUGCCUUCAACAAGGGCAUAACCCGUUGAAAGACGGACUAAUUCCCUAUAACACAGGGGUCCCGCAUGGGGAAUAUUUGUUAAAGAUUAAUCGGUUGAAGAUGGGCAUGCGUUCCAUUAGCUAGUUGGCGGGGUAACGGCCCACCAAGGCAACGAUGGAUAGGGGAACUGAAAGGUUUAUCCCCCACACUGGUACUGAGACACGGACCAGACUCCUACGGGAGGCAGCAGUGAGGAAUAUUGGUCAAUGGGCGAGAGCCUGAACCAGCCAAGUCGCGUGCAGGAAGAAUGUCCUAUGGAUUGUAAACUGCUUUUGCAGGGGAAUAAAGUGAGCCACGUGUGGUUUUUGUAUGUACUCUGCGAAUAAGGAUCGGCUAACUCCGUGCCAGC
rnacentral:rRNA from 1 species